GACGUAGGGGGCCAGCGUUGUUCGGAAUUACUGGGCGUAAAGGGCUCGUAGGCGGCCAACUAAGUCGGAUGUGAAAUCCCCAAGCUUAACUUGGGAACUGCAUCCGAUACUGGAUGGCUUGAAUCCGGGAGAGGGAUGCAGAAUUCCAGGUGUAGCGGUGAAAUGCGUAGAUAUCUGGAGGAACACCGGUGGCGAAGGCGGCAUCCUGGACCGAGAUUGACGCUGAGGCGCGAAAGCCAGGGGAGCAAACGGG
rnacentral:rRNA from 1 species